GAUGAACGCUGGCGGCGUGCCUAAUACAUGCAAGUCGAGCGAACAGAUGAGGAGCUUGCUCCUCUGACGUUAGCGGCGGACGGGUGAGUAACACGUGGAUAACCUACCUAUAAGACUGGGAUAACUUCGGGAAACCGGAGCUAAUACCGGAUAAUAUAUUGAACCGCAUGGUUCAAUAGUGAAAGACGGUUUUGCUGUCACUUAUAGAUGGAUCCGCGCCGCAUUAGCUAGUUGGUAAGGUAACGGCUUACCAAGGCAACGAUGCGUAUCCGACCUGAGAGGGUGAUCGGCCACACUGGAACUGAGACACGGUCCAGGCUCCUACGGGAGGCAGCAGUAGGGAAUCGUCCGCAAUGGGCGAAAGCCUGACGGAGCAACGCCGCGUGAGUGAUGAAGGUCUUCGGAUCGUAAAACUCUGUUAUUAGGGAAGAACAAAUGUGUAAGUAACUAUGCACGUCUUGACGGUACCUAAUCAGAAAGCCACGGCUAACUACGUG
rnacentral:rRNA from 1 species